rnacentral:rRNA from 1 species
AGUGAACGCUGGCGGCGUGCCUAAUACAUGCAAGUCGAAGGAAGUGGCGCACGGGUGAGUAAUACGUGGGUAACCUGCCCUCCUUUUUGGGAUAAGCCUUGGAAACGGGGUCUAAUACCGAAUAAAGGGGGAUGGGCUCGCGGCCUAUCAGCUUGUGGGUGGGGUGAUGACCUACCAAGGGGGUGACGGGUAGCCGGCCUGAGAGGGUGAACGGCCACAUUGGGAGUGAGAUACGGCCCAGACUCCUACGGGAGGGAGCAGUGGGGGAUAUGGCACAAGGGGCGAAAGGCUGAUGCAGGGACGUCGCGUGGGGGAUGAAGGGUUGCGGGUUGGAAACCUCUGUCGCUAAGGAACGGGUAGGUGGAGAAGAAGCUCCGGCUAACUACGUGCCAGCAGCCGCGGUAAUAC